AAGACUCUCAUUUGGUAGCUGCAGUACUUAUAGCAACAGUAACGUUUGCAGCAAUGUUCACCGUACCUGGAGGUUAUGUAAGUGAUGAAAACAAUUUAAAGAAGGGGACUCCUAUCUUAAGCGGAAAUUCAGCUUUUACAGCAUUUAUGAUAUCAGACACUAUAGCUAUGGUUUUAUCCACUUCUUGUGUCUUUAUCCACUUU
rnacentral:misc_RNA from 1 species